AGUCGCCAACACACAUCCCUGCGCACACGUUGUCGGGUUUGCUGUCCCCUAUCAGAGACCUGCCGAACUUCUGGGGUUCGGAGGAGCCGGGUGGGAAGGUGGUUUGGGGUGUUAGGAGCGAUUGCUGACAGGGACCACGUUCUCGCAUGCAUGAGCUCUACCCACUUGAUACCUGAAAUCAGGUUCAUCUGUUUCAACUGGUGCUUAUGACCAUCGGAUGGGGGGCGGGGGAGGGUGGGCAGGAGCAAAGCGGAGUGUUUUUCAGUAAUUAGCGAGUGUCAAUAAAGAAUAGGAGCUUGAUUUUGAGAUUAGAAGGUAGGCAAAAGAGAGAAGAGCCCACUGACAAAAGAUACUCAAGGAGGACGGGAAGAUGUAGCUGAGGCUGACAAUGAAUUGUAGGUUUUCCCAGUGUGAUCCCUCCAGAAAGAGAACACCCUCUAUGCGUGUCCUUGUUUCUCUUUUUUGUUUAGGGUCCUUCUCUAGUUAGGCAGCACAACCUCGGACAAAGGCUGAUGUGUGCUUCCAUGCCUUUGACUUUGUCUUAGAGGACUAGUUAAGAAACUCCCAGGAUGCUGAAGGGCACCGAUGCCAAGUUGGCUAGCCGUCCCAGGGAGGAUGAAGUGGGGCUGGUGACAAGUUCACUGGGCUUUGUGAAGUGGAAUAAAGAAAGUGCUGGUCAGUGGAAAGUGCUGGCUCUGCUGCGGAAACAGUGGUUUUUUUCAGCAGCGAUUAGGAGCUGCUGAGGGGACAUUCUGCAGGAAAGAUGGUGGGUGGGGGCGGGGGGACACGGGUAUUUAAAAAUUGUACAGUGUGCACCAUGGAAAGUCCAAGAAGACAGUCCGGAUUUGCACAUAGGAAGUGUGAACUUGUACAGUCCGUCCUGGAGAAACCCGCUUGCCCUUGGGGGGAGGGCUGUGAGAGGCUCGGUGUGUGGCUGCUCGUGUAAUUUCUUCGCUUAGUGACAGCAGCUUGUUAAGGCUAAUGAACGGCUGAAUUUCCUCUGCCGGGAUCCAAAGCAGGAUUUGCCAGCUUGAGGCUGAGAUGUAACAGUCUCUGCUUUAGCAAAAGAGGUUUGGCUUUUGGUAUAAGGAGCCGAGUGGCAAGGCGGAUCCUUUAACUGUACCAUUGUUGCUAGUUCACUUCUGGUCAGAGGCUGUGAGUUUUCCUCCAGGUAUUGGCGUCUGGUGUCUCUGUGUCCACACAUGCAUUCUUGUCCAAGGACGCUAGCAGAUGCUUGACUCUGUCUCUCUGUAAACACAUACACAGUUCACAUAUUUUUAGAAUAAAGUCUUUCUUCAAUGCAUCCUUUUCCUUAUCCUUAACGAGAGUGUGUCUCAUGAAGGGUCUCACUGGAUCUUUUUCUUCCUUUUAUUUCCAAUGCUAAUUAAACCAAAAUCUUCUGAAAUAGCCUUCAUUUCACACUGUCAGCCCACUGGCCUGGGCUGCCAGGUGCUAUAUCAGCCAGGAAAACAAAGCAAACUGUAGGGUCUGUCCAUCCGUAGGUUUGCCUCAGUCCCCAAUUCGCAGAUAGCCUUGUCAUGAAUUAGAAUUUCUUGGCAACAGCACCACCCAGGGAAAUUUGUAGACACAAAGGAGCCUUGCUAGCCACACUGAAAGGAUAAAAUAACUGUUUUUUUUUGUAUUGUGCAAUGGGCUUUUAAUUAUCUUUGCUGGACCCCACGACUGGCAAAUGCAGAAAAUCGCUCUGUGAUUCCAGUUCACUCGAUAUAUCAGUUAGCCUAUGUGUUAGAACUGCGAUUUGCUGAAAGUUUAGGACAGCUCCCCAACUUAACUUGAAUGGUGCCAGAGGGGCAGAUGAGUAUACAAUGUGAAUACACAUAUCCAUAAUGGCCAGGAAACAGUGCCCAUGUCUGUGCCAUUCGGAAAUGAUUAGAGGUUUGACAUUCUAGUCAUUCCUUUUUCCUCUUCCUCCCUCUCCCCUUCCUGAUUUUCUUUGUCCAAGUUCCACCCAUUCCUUAACUUUCAAAUGGGUGCCAAACUCCCUCCCUUGCUACCAGCCAACUGUAACUGCUAUGAUUUCCAUACUCUUGUGCAGAGCUUUUUACUUCCCCG
rnacentral:lncRNA from 1 species